rnacentral:misc_RNA from 1 species
AAGUCGUAACAAGGUUUCCGUAGGUGAACCUGCGGAAGGAUCAUUAACACGUAUCCAAACGUUAAAACCCCCCCCGUGAACCUUCAUCCUGCUCUUGUAACCCGCGUAGUUCGCAAUCUCUGAUAAAUCAUAGCCCGGAAAGUUGUAGUGAUUCAGAGACCUCUGGCUACGUGCGAACAUUGGAACAGUUACAAUCGAGCGGUAGUUCUAUAGGCAAUGUUUCCCCAAGCAGUCAGGGUCGGAAAGUGUCAUUGAUUGUGCAAGGAUAUGGCAAAGGGUCCCCAUGCCCCCUAAUAACCCCACAGUUUAAUGUGAAGCUCAAUGUAAUACAUUGGGUAAAAAAACCGAACAACUGUUAACAAUGGAUAUCUUGGUUCUC